UGAUCUCUGAUGGUUCGCUCUGG
rnacentral:piRNA from 1 species